rnacentral:rRNA from 1 species
GACCUACGGGAGGCAGCAGUAGGGAAUCUUCCACAAUGGGCGAAAGCCUGAUGGAGCAACGCCGCGUGGGUGAAGAAGGUCUUCGGAUCGUAAAACCCUGUUGUUAGAGAAGAAAGUGCGUGAGAGUAACUGUUCACGUUUCGACGGUAUCUAACCAGAAAGCCACGGCUAACUACGUGCCAGCAGCCGCGGUAAUACGUAGGUGGCAAGCGUUAUCCGGAUUUAUUGGGCGUAAAGGGAACGCAGGCGGCAUUUUAAGUCUGAUGUGAAAGCAUUCGGCUUAACCGGAGUA